rnacentral:lncRNA from 1 species
CUUGGUCCUGAGAAGGGCGGAGGUCUCGAAGCCCCUGGACCAAGGGAAGCUGGCUCCGAACUGGGAAGGGCCCUACGUGGUAGCAGACACCUAUGGGCCAAGGGCUUACCGGCUAGAGACUUUGGAAGGGAAACCCAUUCCCCGAACUUAGAACGCCGACAACCUGAAGUUGUAUCACCAAUGAACUUUAUACUCGUUCAUUCGGAAUGCAAAUCCAGUUUGAAAUUUUGGAGUUUUAACUCUUCGACUGACGAUCGACGCUCACCAAGGUCGAGCACCGACGUGCCGACUCGGACUUGGUAUCCGCCUGA